AGUGAACGCUGGCGGUAGGCCUAACACAUGCAAGUCGAACGGCAGCACAGUAAGAGCUUGCUCUUACGGGUGGCGAGUGGCGGACGGGUGAGGAAUACAUCGGAAUCUACUUUUUCGUGGGGGAUAACGUAGGGAAACUUACGCUAAUACCGCAUACGACCUACGGGUGAAAGCAGGGGAUCUUCGGACCUUGCGCGAUUGAAUGAGCCGAUGUCGGAUUAGCUAGUUGGCGGGGUAAAGGCCCACCAAGGCGACGAUCCGUAGCUGGUCUGAGAGGAUGAUCAGCCACACUGGAACUGAGACACGGUCCAGACUCCUACGGGAGGCAGCAGUGGGGAAUAUUGGACAAUGGGCGCAAGCCUGAUCCAACCAUACCGCGUGGGUGCAGAAGGCCUUCGGGUUGUAAAGCCCUUUUGUUGGGAAAGAAAAGCAGCAGGUUAAUACCCCGCUGUUCUGACGGUACCCAAAGAAUAAGCACCGGCUAACUUCGUG
rnacentral:rRNA from 1 species